GUCCCGGAUAUACUGCAAGAUGUCCAUCUCGUCCAUGGCUUGAAUCUGCUGCUGCUGCUUCCGCUGCUCCGCCACAGCCUCAGGCAGGCCCGCUUUGGGGGGCACAGCUGGCUUUCUGGGUAGUGCUGGCUUAGUUGCCACUGGUGGUCUGGGCUUAGGCUGGGGCUUGGGCUCGGCCCCCAGGUUCAGAAUCUGGUCCAAGUCUUCUUCAACUCUAGGGAACCAGAGGGGGAAGCCCUGAAUAGAAUCUCCCGCAAAGGAAGCAAGGCCCAAGGCACCCCUGGGGACUGUGCCCAGGCCCCGCCCCAACCUGGCCUUCCCCCACUCUGCCCCCGGGGAGGACUGAGGGGAGGCUUCUCUUUCCCUGCAGCCGCACAACACAGCUGGAGCAGAGCCAGCCCCUUGGCGGCCUCUGGGCCUUUUUCAGGUGGUCCCCCUCUAGACGAUGGCCCUGUAGGUGGCUUGUCCUUCAACCUCUCAAGAAAUAAUAGCAACAGCUGCCAGAUACAGAGCGCCUGCUCUGUGCCAGGCACUUUGGACAUAUUAUCUUGUUUUAUCCCCAAACCCUUUAGGGGCAUGGCUGAUCUCCACCCAGCAGAUGUGGAUGUUCAAGCCCCAGGAGGCCAAGCUACCCGCCUGAGAUGACAGCAUGUGACAGUGCCUGAGUCAGAAUCAAGGCGUCAGACUUCAGAAGCUGAGCCCUUAUCUAGGCCAAGUUCAGCCAGAGAAAGAAUAAAUAAGGGGCUCUGACCACUGUGGGGUGGGGCUGCCCAUCCAUGGUGCCCACUGAGGGCCACACGGGUGCCAGACAGCCUACUGAGGGUUAGAGCCACCAUGGCCCGGGAGCUGACAGCCAUCGCUGGGUGGGAUUAAAGCCCACAGCAGUGUGAUGGUCACACAGGACCAGCCCCAGGUACCAGAUGGCAGUUAAGAAAAGCGCGCCACAACCUGGUUCUGCCCUCUUUGCCUGAGGGAGCUCCUGCUGCCAGCUCCUGGUGGAGGAACUCACUUUCUGGAGACCAGAUGCAUAAUGCAAGACCCAUUCAAUCCAUCCACUACCCACCCACCCAUCCAAUCAACAUUGUGCUGAAUACCUACUGCGGCCAGGCAUUUCCACAUUCGUUAACUCACUGAAUAAUCACAAGACACUGUUUGGUAGCAGGUAUUAGCCCCAUUUUCCAGAUAUGAAAGCUGAAGUACAGAGAUAAAGGGCUUUGCUUGGGGCCCAUGGCCAGCUUGUGAAGGAACAAGACUUGGCCUGGGGAUGGGUGGGUCUCUUGGGUGUGUCUGCCCUCCUGGGGCACCAAUGCAAUGAAGCCCUCCCAGGUUGGGGUUUCUCCAGGGUGGAGGAUCCCUCCUUAUGCUGAGGCCACAGGCCCCCAAGGCCCUUCAGGUGACACUUGCUGGACCUUUUGCCUCUAAGGACCUGACCCAGACCCCUCUUGCCUCCUCAGGGAGUCCUCUUUUCCCUUGGGACUCUGUGAUAACCUCCACACACCUGUGUCCCCUCGGAAUUCUCCCUGGGUCAGGCUCCAGGACACUUGCUGUCCACUUUUCUGUCCCUUGACAGAUGACAGUCCCAUCUGGGACACAGUGAUUCAGAGAAGACGCAAAGCAAGAAGAACUGCAAGGCCCUGCUAGUGCAAGGUCAACCACGGAGAGGCUGUGGGGAGUUCUGAAGACCCCAGUCCCACCUCUCCUCCCCAGGCCCCUGCAGAGGACAGGCCUUGGUUAAAGACCACACCUGGAAGCCUCCCACUGGUGUGGCUGCACAGCUGGAGGGAAGUGGGGGCUUAUCCGCAUACUGCCGGGCACGCCACUCCGUGCCACUUCGUGCUAGCUGACGGCCGUGACAGAAUGAACGGAUGGGUGACGCCAUCAGUGAAUGAAUGAGGUGUAAGAAGUUUGCUAUCAGGAACCCCGAUCACUGCCUGGAUAGUCACGGAGCCAGCACAAAGCAGAAGAAAACAUGGCUCCCGCUCUCAAAAAGUCAGUUCUCUGUCACCAGACGUCUGGCAGAGUGAAGGCAGGGCUGCAGGACUCAUGUUCUCUAAAGCAGUGGCUCCCAGAGUGCUCUGUGGGACGCCAAGAGACACCACAGAGGAAAAAGUCCCAGGGACCAACAAGAAUGUGAAAUGCUACAUGGUAUUUCCCACUCAUGCCCACAGAGUCCUGCUUAACAACGGUACUGCCCAGCUGUCUGGCCACAGAACCCCUCUAAAGGGAGCACGGAGUUCUGAAGAACAUGGGUCGGGAAGUGCUGGUGUCAUGGAUUUAGAAUAGGCUGUGCCAGGAAAGUCACACUGCAAUGGCCUCCCUGGGUCACGCAGGGUCCUGGAGGUGGCAGAGCCUCCCUGGGCAGGGCACACCAGUGGCAGCAGGGCCCUGCCACCCUCCCUGGGGCUGACUCUAGUGCUCUGCUUCCCUGUGCCUCAGUUUCUCCUCUGAAGAUGUAACGACCCCAGCUUCUCCCAGCCUGUCGGGGUUGUCAGGGGUAAGGACACAGGAUGACAGUGAACAGAUGCCAGGGGCCAUGGGGAGAUGUACAGACAAGAGGCCUUCGCUGUGACUCAGGUUUGGUGGGCAUUCACGGGGCUAACAGCCCGAGACUGCUAACGAGGGUGCAGAUGACAGCCUUCCGGAACCACAUGCCCCGGCUCCACGUAACCGUUCUUGGAAAGAGACGGCUCGGCUUCCUGUAAAUCGCCGAGCACAGCCACAUUCUGGGGGCACAGGUGACCCAACAGAGACGCACAAUUACCAGGCAUGCUCCGAAGUCCAGGGAGAGCUGCUGGCCCAGGGUGGGAGGCAGAUCUCCCAGCCUCUCCUCCAAGUAUUUAGAGAGUCCUUGGAAGGAACGGGAGGACAGGGCAUGGGCGGUGUGCUGGAUUCCGAUCCUGGCUCUGUCCCUGGGGAGCUGUGGCCUUGGGCCAGUCACCUUUCCCACACUCUGUUCUCUAAAAUGGAGAUAAGAGCACCUAUGUCGGAGGCUGGAGGACUGACUGAGGCAGUGUGCAAAGUCCAACACACUGAUGCCUGGCACACACUCUGGAAGAAGGAGCCCCCCAUGGAACAGACUAAGCCUCGCUCUUUCUUUGGAGACCUGCUGAUGGGACCCUGCCGGGUCCGGCCACUGUCCAGCACAUCUGUGCUCCCUCCCUCCGGGAGAGCUGCGAGCUACCAAGAGUCCGUUUGAGUUGUUCCCAAACCUAUUUAUGCCAGCUACACUUGCUCUUGCGACUACCUAAUUUGAUUAUUCUUCACAUAAACUUUUAAAGUAUGAGUGUGAAAAGGAAAAGAAAAAGACUUGCAUUCAUGAAGUCCUUUCUGGAACUUGCUGAGCUGCCCUGGGCUGCUAACCACCCCCACCCCCUGCCCAAUCCCUGCCACUGCCCCCUGGCCGGCACCCAUUCAUAGGCUCCUGCCUCUGAUGAGCCAAGACUGCCUCCUUGGAGGCCAAAGCUGGUGAGAUGCUCCCACACUGAGAUGGGUCCCUGGCUCCGUCCAGGUACUCUCAGAGCAGGAAGAGCACCGCUGGGGGCAGGUGGUACCUGAACAGCUCCGGGUGGGGCGUGGGCCCUCCACUCAUAUGGGCGGCAGGCAGCAGUAAGGGGUCACCCAGGGGGACAGCGCCGCCGAGAUCAGGAUCUUCAAACAACUUCAGGGCUGUGGGGAAGGCAGGAGCAGAGUGGUCAGAGGAAGUCCUGGCCCAUCCUCAGCUGCCAGAGGGGGACAGGGUGGAGAUGGCCUGGCCCAGCCAGGAGACAGUGAGCAAGGGACAAGGCAGAGCACAGAAGAACCAGAGGAAUGGGCCCAGGUGGGGGCAGGAAGGAAGCAAGGGACAGGUGCUCAGAGGCUGCCCUACAAUUGUCAGGGGAUGUCCGGUCUCCUGUGGGAGUCCUGAGGCCAGGACUGUGUCUUUCUCAUCCAUGUGUUCUCAGGCUCAGCAGAGCCUGGCCCCAGAGGGUGGUCACCAAGUGCUGGGUGCAUCAAUGGGGAGCAUCUACUCUCCACCCUGAAUGAGAAGCUGGGUGUGAUGAGGAAAGAUCAGACCUAUGGACAAAUACAGAAGUUCCCAGGCUACUCAGCUUUCCCCUUUCCAGUUCUGCACAGGACCCUUCCGUGGGGUCUAUGCAGGCAACACAAAAUCUCUCAUCACAAUCCAAAUUGUACAGAGUCACAGCACAGCUAGGGUGGCUGUGUCUACUUUCCAGCCGGUGGCCACACCUAGCCCCGGAAUGACAAAGAUGCUUUUGCACCAAUCACAACCCAUACUUCUCAAGUGAUAAAGAUGACCACCCUCCUCUUCCACAGGAUGAGGACAAUAAACAUACAGCCCUGGAAUGUUCCAGGCUAUGGGGACACAAAGCACAAGGCUAGAUUUCUCCAGCAGAAAAUCUCCAUAAGCUGAGUAUGUACCAUGUUGAAACAGGACAACGAGGAGAUUUCCAUCAUGCUCCCGUGUGGUAGGUCCAAAGCCAUUGACAGAGGCUGGCUGGGUCACCAAGAGGAAUGGGAACACCCAGAGGCUCUACUUACGGUCCUUGAGGGGCAUGUCCUCUGCGGGGCCCUUGGGGGAGGAGAGCUUCGGAGCUGGGCCAAAGAGCCCCUCCUCAGGGUCCACCUCCUCAUCAAAGAUGGUGAGUCGGGGUGAGGGUUUGGGCUUCAUGGCUACUUCUGGGCGUUUCUUGGGCUUCUUGGAGCUAGGGAAUCAGACACAGCUCUAGGUUAGGACUUCUGAUGAGAGCCCCAAUGGCCAGCAGGUGGCCUGGUCAGAGGCUGGGUGAGUUUGAGCUCAUGUCAAGAAGGAACUUUCCAGUGCCCUGACAGUGGAGACGUGAGACCCUGCUACUGGAAGUGGCUGAGCCCUGUGCCCCAGGAACCACUGAUGUCAGGAUGUGUGGGAAGAGCAGGUGAAUGAGUGAGCCAGCAGACUGCCAGACAACUCCCAGCCCUGGAGGGCUACCCAGGACUCAGGCCUGUAUGCAUGGUCACAGGUCAGAGAGGCUGCUCUCCUUCUGGAGGCUGCAGGGGUCAAUGCCCAUAAUGCUCCCAGGGGCCAGGCUCGGAGUCACUGCACAGCCCUUUGGAAAGGGGGCUGGACACAGACCUCAGGGCCUGGACCCGGGGAACAGCAGAAAGCAGCCUUGGUAAAUGCUCCCUCGUUUCCUCCACACACACACACAAUCUGCUGGGUGUUGGAGGGCAGGGUGCUCAGAGGCGACCAUCCACACGCUCUGGAUGUGGACUUCUGGUAGAAUCUCAGGCUCCAGCUGAGAUGGGAGAAGCUAUGAAAGCUGCAAACGCACCUGCUGGAGGCUCCCACACCCAGGACGGAGCACACCUACACGCUCAGUGCCAAGGCCCCCUCAUGGUCUUGUGCUCUCGGCCCCUCAAGGUGUCCCAGGAGCAGGAAGGAGAUUCGGGAUAGGGUGAGGAUAAGGGGCUCGGUCCUACUGCUCUUUGGGAGAAAGUGGCACAGGUCAAGGACAAGAUGGAGAGCAGAGACUCAGCAGCAGGGCUGUGCCCCACGUGCCCCAGUCCCUGCUCUCUCUCCAUCCUGGGCACAUCCAGACAGGCUCAUGUCACAGGCCACCUGGGACUCGUCUCUGCUCUGGCGCCACCCCAGGCUCUGCUUGUGGUGCUGGGCAAGGUGAAAGGGGCCUGGCCUCUUCCCUCCUCACAGCAAAUACUUCCCAGAAAACUUCAGGCGUGCCAUGGCACACACCUUGAAGGGCCAGUUCAGCUUUAAUGACCCCUGGGAAGUGGGUACCAAAGACAGGCCAUGCCCCUCGUGGCAGGCCAGCCAGAGACAGCUCUAGCCGAGACCUGCUGAGUCAGAACCCUGGGGCCAGCCCAGGAAGCUGUGUUGGAGGUUUUGUGGAGCCUGGGGCCUGUGGGCUCUGCCCCACUGCUUCCCUCAAUCACCUGACAGCCACCCCUGAGCUGGCCCUGCUCCUGGAUCCUCUGCCCCAUCCGCACCUGACCAGGGAGGGCAGGGCUGAGGCCUUGCCACCUGCGGCACUGCCCGCAGGUCUGCCCUGCUCAGAAACUAGCAGGCCCUGAAAGAGUUCCUUAGGAAAGCAAGCCCAAAUCCUCCUCCAGCACACAGGCCCCCAGCGGCACAGGGGAAAGAGGCCUCCCGUGGACCAGAAACCAGAGGGAACAUGGAAAGAAGGGGACUGUCUGAAGAACAAAGCAAGUGCGAGAGAACAAUCGUGACUGAUUACGUCUGGAGAAGCCCUGCAGAUUUCAACAAUUUCCCUCCUUACACCUACUUCUGGUUCUGAGAGCACAAACUAGGCCUGACUUUCCUGCUAUGUUCGUUUUCCUCUCAGAUUGGAUGAAUGUUCUUGUCUUUUCUUCCUGAAGACAUUUCUGAUCUUUUGUUGCCUUGAACUGAAAUUAACUGAAUCUGUGGCACAUACGACUGUUCAGCUGGGGACCAUCUGUAUUCCACCCCGUUAUUCCACACAGGCCAUCGGUCUGUCUCCCCAACUCUCCCCAACUGUCUCCAGGGGAGACAGUGAAUAAGGAGGAAAUAUGGAGCUUUGACAGCUGAAAGCCCCAGGGGCCUGCCCUCACUGGCUCCCAAACUUUAGUCUCUGGGACCCACAAUGUGCCUGGUCCAGAGCAGACACUCAAUAAUAUUGGCUGAAAGAAUGGAAGGAUGGACGGAGGGAUGGAUGGAUGGAUGGAAGCAAGGAAGGAAGGAAGGAAGGGGAAAGAGGGCAAAUGAAUAGAUGGAUGGACACACUGGUGACAGUAUAGCUCUUAUUCAGACUUAUUUCUGCCUACUCCCCCAGGAGGAGUGGAAAGAGUGAAGAGAGGUGGUUCCCAGCACCAGUCUGAGACAGAGAAUAUAAGCUUCACUCUUCCAGAGCUGGCAGGCAGGUCAGCUGGUCUCCUCAUCUGCCCUCAGCCACCCUGUAAGCAGCUCAGGCAUUCACUCCGAGUGCCCUCUGUGACCCAGCACUGGCUAGACACCUCCCUUGUGCAAGAUCCUGGGCAGGGCAGUUAGACCUGCCACGGUCCCCAGAAGCUCACAGCUAAAAAUCGGAGAUAUAUAAACCAAUCAUGACCACACAGAGCAACAGUUCCAGAACACGCAGAGCACAGAGGAAGGAGCCCACCCAGCUCAGGGGGUUCCCAGAGGAGGCGAGGCGAGGCGAUGUAGAUGUGGACCCAGGCAGAGGGAAUGAGGCCUCCAGCUGUGGGGGGUCUGCCAGGGGCAUGACUCAGGCAUGACUAUGAACCAGGUCCCCACGGCAGCUUGGCUCGUGAUCCACGAAAACGAUCAGUCUUGGCCUGGGGGAGUGCCGCAGUGUGACGAGGAGACAGGGUCAGGGAGAACAUCAGAAGGCAAAAGCGCUCCUAGAAAAUGUGGACCGUGAGGUGAUCAGUGGGCAGAAGGGGCGUAUCCAGAAUGAUACCAGAUUUCUGGCUUCUGGGACAGGGUCAGGAAUGUCAUGUGUGAGGUGAGUCUCCAAGCCGGGUUUCUUCCUUCGCUCACAGAUCAUGUGGGCGCGGACUCAAGCUGCACACACGGGCCAUGGCCCCCGCCCCCCACCAUCCCUGCUCUGCCCCUGCUCUUCCUGCGUCCACCUGGCUGUCUGUGAGAUGCACCUCCCCACUGUGCUGCACCUGCCAGUCCUGCCUCUGCACCCACAUGGUAAAGGAUGCCCCGCCUGUUCUUUCACCAGUUUAGUCUCCUGUCACCAGGGAUGGGGCAAUGGGGCAACUGGGCCCUGAGCAGAGAGGUGUGCCAUAGACAGACCUGCUCCUGCCUUCCUGGCGGGCACAAAGGAGGUCACCUGAACUUGUGCAGGCUCUGGCGCAGCACGGGUGGCGGGAGGUGGGGGGCAGGCUCCCUGGAUGGGUGCAGGCAUGGGGAAGAACAUUCCUGUAGCAUGCAGGCGUGUGCGUGGACAGACAUCAACUCUCCUGCACUGCGUGCCUGAUGGAAGACAGAUGUCCAGACCAGGCCGCACUCUGCAGGCGGAUGUGGUGCAAACGUUGAGACGGAGGUGGCAGACGCUGAGGCUGACGGCCCUGCUCACGUGGCUCAGGCAGUUCUGGUGACAGUGACAGACACAUGACAGUAGCCUCCCCUCUGGCCACUAAGGGGGCCCAUGUCCAUGUUCCGGAUGCACCUGCCCCCCCCAGCAGACCACCGAUGGGCACCAGCUGCCCAGGACCUGCAUCACUUGAGUUACAGGAGCAUCUCCUGGACUAAACAGAAGGCCCUUCUGAAGCCAAGACUCACAGACAACAUGACUUACCUUCAAAGCCAGGGUGACACUUAACCAAAUAAGGAAAUUAAUCUCCUCUCCAGUCAUACAAUUUUCCUGCUUUCAAAUAAAGCAUUUUUCAUUUUUUAGUUUUAAA